UAACGCCUACGGGAGGCAGCAGUGGGGAAUAUUGCACAAUGGGGGAAACCCUGAUGCAGCGACGCCGCGUGAGUGAGGAAGUAUUUCGGUAUGUAAAGCUCUAUCAGCAGGGAAGAAAAUGACGGUACCUGACUAAGAAGCCCCGGCUAACUACGUGCCAGCAGCCGCGGUAAUACGUAGGGGGCAAGCGUUACCCGGAUUUACUGGGUGUAAAGGGAGCGUAGGCGGCCACGCAAGUCAGAAGUGAAAACCCGGGGCUCAACCCUGGGAGUGCUUUUGAAACUGUGCGGCUAGAGUGUCGGAGG
rnacentral:rRNA from 1 species